rnacentral:tRNA from 2 species
GUGUGGAUAGCUCAGCAGGUAGAGCACUGGAUUGAAAAUCCAGGUGUCGCGAGUUCGAUUCUCGCUCCACGCACCA